GUCUAUAGUGGAGAAAUUGGAGAUGAGUGUCUCUGCUGCUUUGUAUAAAUUAUCUUUGGUGAACGAAUUCUUGACGACUUGAUUUGGCUCGCUUUUUUCUACAUUCUCCCAAGUGGAUAUUUAUCGAAGUGGGGAUGCCGAAAUUUUUUCCGUUUCAUAUGGACUGUAUAUUUGUUCCACAAUAGUCCUCCCUUGAUAUUGCAUGCACAACGUUGCUGAACAGAAUUGUGGAGCAUAUCUCUUCUCGCUGCGGCCUUCUCCGUUUUUAAUCAAAUUGUGGCCGUGUUUGAUUUGAUGAUCUACAUCUAAAGAGAGUUAUUCUUGCACUAUUUUACUGUUUGUUUCUUUUAUUUCUGUUAUAUUGGAAUAGGAAUUCGUUUCCUCUCUAAGGAUUUCAUUGGGCACCAGAAUUCAUUAAUGGAACCAUCAUGUUCUGCAGACUGUAAGAUAAUCUCUAAGGAAUUCGAGUCAUAAACGUUUCUGUAGAAAACUUGUUUCAUUUUGUAGAGUGAACAGCGUGGUUUGGGAAAGUAUCUCCAUCCGGUAAUUGUGCUUUGAUCAUAGUUGAGUCCAAAAUAGUUGCAAUUGAUGGCAUUGUUCCAAACAUAAAUAUUCUGUUGGUUGUGUCCUAUGUCUCACUAUUUCUAGAUGUUUAAUCAGGGAUCUAUGUCAAAAAAAAUCUUCUAUUUGUAUAUAGAUACUUUAUUCUUUAUUGUUAUAUUUAAUCUGAAGAUCAUUGUGAUUCAUAUAGAUUUUGGAAUUCAAUAUAGUAAUGUGGUGUUUGAUAGUGUUGUUGAGUUCAUUUUGGAUUUUGUUUUGGAUUAGUCAAAAGUUCAUUAAGACUUGCAGCAAUCUUUGUGUAAUCUAAUCUAGAUGUUCAGUCUGCUCAAUAUUGGUAAACGGACUAGAACACCGGCUCUCUUUCAUCUCAACUGUUGAUCUACAACUACUUGGUAGUCUACAGACAAACCAAAGAUGAGUAGUAUCUCAACUAUAUACGUGUGAUUCUGCGUCACAAUCAGGUAUUUUUUAAUUCAUUUUUUUAUUCAUAUUUUUAAAGUUUCACCUCAUUCAUAUACUAACUUGAGCGUCGGACUGCUAACCUUUUUUGCAGGUACCCCUCUGACCCCAAAACGAAAGUCUUACCGCGGUAGUUGUCUUCGUCUUCAGCCUUACAUCGUUUCAGUAUGGAAUAGUUAUAAUUGAAUGUUCUAAAUCUUCUUCAUAAUAGUCUUUUGCAUGCAUGCUGAAGUUCUGAUGUUUUUUUUUGUUUUGUCAAUGGAGUGCUAGAUAAUGUUUCUUAGAUUGCUGAUUGUGUUUACUUGAUAGAUUUGAGUUGCGACAGGUUGAUAGUGUUUUCUUAAUGGAUUUGCAUUGCGUUCAGGUUGCCGAUCGCGUUUUCUUAAUGGAUUUGCGAUGCAUGCUUCAGAUUGUUGAAGCACACACAUGAAACUGACUUGACACAAGUUUUCAUUUGAUAAGUAAGAGAUAUGUUUAACCAUUAUGCAGCAAAGCCAGGAUUAGCUUCAUAUCUAAAACCUUAAGAACAGAGAACAGCUCCAGAUAGAUAAAUCAAACUUCUUCAAAUUGAAUUUCGAACAUGUUUUGCUGCAGCAGCUUGGUUUGUCAAAACAAUAACCUUCUUCAAAGCAUGCAUCAGCCUGGCUUUUUGAUUUGGUGAUAUCUAUAAAAUAAUUUUUGUUUUCAAUUCUGAGAGCGUAUUUUUCUUGAAGUUGUCUUUUGAUCUUGUAUAAGUUGUUGAAGUUUGUGUUUCUUCCGUGUUGAGGUUUUUGUGUUUCUAUUAUCAGGGACUUAGAUCUUUGGCUAAGUGCAAAUUAUGGAAUUAGAUACCAUCUUUGAAUCUUUGAUAUAGCCCAAGCACGUCUCAGUGUCGUGUGUCAGAUACUGACGCUUCCUACUAUGGCUGCACUUUAAUUUGGUCAUCACUACCAAGACUUUUACGCUUUAGUCUUUGUUUGAUUUGAUACACAACAUCUACUUUUGUCGGAUUCUUUGAGUUGUGUGAGUUUUGCAGGGAGAUGCAUUUAUCCCGUUUCGCAGAAAGCAUGGUGGAUAUCCAGAAUGCCUUGAUACAACAACCAGAACAGGAAAUAACUCUAGAUAGCUAAAUCAAUUUUUUAUGGGUCAUUCUUUACUAUUUUUAUUUCCGACCUUUGAUUGCAAGGCAUACAAAUUAAUUUCUGAAGUGUUUUGCUUCAGCGUGGUUGUUUCCAACUAAUAACCUUCUUCAGGGCAUGGAGCUUAGCAUUUCAAUUUUUGAUUUGGUGAUCUCCAUUAAAUUCUUUUUAUAUUGAUUCUAUUUUUUGGUUCUGAAACCAUAUCUUCUUUGAUUUGGUGUUUACUCUCUGGUGUUGCAGGAUAUUUAAUAUGUUAACAGACGAUUUCUUCUUGUUCUAUUUUCCUCUUGUUUGAUCUUCAUGGCUGUUGAUUUUUGCUUUCUUGAUUCUUAGGUUUGAUUUGGUUUUUGUUAGUUUUGACCUUGGAAGUUACUGUCUACUAUUAUUUUGUUAGGGUUUUAAAUGAUUGUUCUUUUGUGUAUACAUAUGGGUGACCUUGGAAGUCACUUUUUUCUACAUUCUCCCAAGUGGAUAUUUAUCGAAGUGGGGAUGCCGAAAUUUUUACCGUUUCAUAUGGACUGUGUAUAUUUGUUCCACAAUAGUCCUCCUUUAUUGCAUGCUUAACAUUGCUGAACAGAAUUGUGGAGCAUAUCUCUUCUCGCUACCUUCUCCGUUUUUAAGCAAAUUGUGGCCGUGUUUGAUUUGAUGAUCUACAUCUAAAGAGAGUUAUUCUUGCACUCUUUUACUGUUUGUUUCUUUUAUUUCUGAUAUAUUGGAAUAGGAAUUCGUUUCCUCUCUAAGGAUUUCAUCGGGCACCAGAAUUCAUUAUUAGAACCAUCA
rnacentral:lncRNA from 1 species